GAUGAACGCUGGCGGCGUGCUUAAUACAUGCAAGUCGAGCGAACAGACGAGGCGCUUGCUCCUCUGUCGUUAGCGGCGGACGGGUGAGUAACACGUGGAUAAUCUACUUAUAUGACUGGGAUCACUUCGGGAAACCGGAGCUAAUACCGGAUAAUAUAUUGAACCGCAUGGUUCAAUAGUGAAAUACGGUUUUGCUGUCACUUAUAGAUGGAUCCGCGCCGCAUUAGCUAGUUGGUAAGGUCACGGCUUACCAAGGCAACGAUGCGUAGCCGACCUGAGAGGGUGAUCGGCCACACUGGAACGUAGACACGGUCCAGACUCCUACGAUAGGCAGCAGUAGGGAAUCUUCCGCAAUGGGCGAGAGCCUGACGGAGCAACGCCACGUGAGUGAUGAAGGUCUUCGGAUCGUAAAACUCUGUUAUUAGGGAAGAACAAAUGUGUAAGUAACUAUGCACGUCGUGACGGUACCUAAUCAGAAAGCCACGGCUAACUACGUG
rnacentral:rRNA from 1 species